CAAAGAUGAAAGGUGAAAAUGUGGUAAGGAACUAUUAACUAACUCACUUAGAAGUGAAAAUAAAUGAGAGACCUUUAACAGCGUUGGGACCUGGAAGGAGCCAGAUGCCAGAGAAGAGGGUCUCCUAAAUCAGCAAAUUGAAUCUAGUUGAACACAGAGGAGGAGAGAAGCAAGAACUGGACUGAGGCAUUUCAAAGGGAAAGGAAGAAAUUUAUGCUGUGACAAGCUGCAGGCACAAAAUCAGCUUCACAGCAGUGUCCAUUUCUCUGCUCUUUGGUUUGGCCCUUUUCUUCACCUCACUUUUUACCAUGUGCCAACUGCUACAGGACACAGUCAGGAGCUACAGCUGCUGCUGGAAUCGAAUCCCUUCUCAUCCCAGC